CCUACGGGAGGCAGCAGUGGGGAAUAUUGCACAAUGGGGGGAACCCUGAUGCAGCGACGCCGCGUGAGUGAAGAAGUAUUUCGGUAUGUAAAGCUCUAUCAGCAGGGAAGAAAAUGACGGUACCUGACUAAGAAGCCCCGGAUAACUACGUGCAAGCAGCCGCGGUAAUACGGAGGGGGCAAGCGUUAUCCGGAUUUACUGGGUGUAAAGGGAGCGCAGAGGGCUGUGAAAGUCUGGAGAGAAAGGCGGGCGCCCAAGCACCGGACUGCUCGGGAAACUGUAAAGCUAGAGUGCAGGAGAGGUAAGCAAUGCCUAGUGUAGCGGUGAAAUGCGUAGAUAUUACGAAGAACACCAGUGGCGAAGGCAGCUUACUGGACUGCAACUGACGUUGAGGCUCGAAAGCGUGGGGAGCAAACAGGAUUAGAUACCCCUGUAGUC
rnacentral:rRNA from 1 species